GCACCAUUUUAUAUGCUGUUGAAAAAAACAGUUUCAAAAAAAAUUUAUUUCAUUAUUCUAGUAUUUUUAUAGCUAAAACUUAUCAAAUUUAAUUUUGAAUUAUUUUUUAAUACUCUCCAAUGAAUACAUUUAAAGAAUUGUUUUUCUCAAUAGCUGUUUCAACAGCAAUGCCAACUCAAUCAACAAGAAAAAGUACUAGAUUCAGAAAAUGUUUGAAAGUCGACAGAACACCUUAAAAAUAGUAGAAUUCAGUAAUUAACAUUGAUAUGGUAGCUAGAAGACUGGCCGGUAAAAAAAAAAAAAAACACAUUGAUUUAUUAUAAGCACAUGAAUGUCUGAUGAGUGGACGUCUCAAAUGAAGUCAAAAUUUUAUUUGGUGGAAUGAAACAGAAAGGAGGUAAAAAAUUUCUCAACAUGUAGAUUACAGCAUAUGUAUUAUGUUGUUGCAGCUUCAAGCUUCUUUUUUUUUUUUAAUUUGCCCCCUCCCCCUUUUAAUAUGGAUACCAACUACCAAGCCUCUUAUCACAGAGUCACUAAAGUGGUCCUUCUGUUCACAGAAGAUUAAAGAAUCAGAAGGUUUAAAGUUAAAAAAGUUGUUCUCCUCGUGAAUUUGUGGGUUAUUUCAAAAAAAUCAAAGCCUUUGCUUUGUAUUGCUCGCUGCAGUCUUAGAUCUUUCUAAAGAUGUAGCUCUAAACCAGGUUGAAUGGGAAGAAUAAUACAUAUAUAUAUUCAAACCUAAAUAGUUUUGGAUCAAGCUUAAUUGAGUUGAGUUUCAUAUUGUGCAUUUACUAUUCUAUUUAAGCUUCAGGUUCUUUCCAUAUGCAGAACAAUUUGACUUCUUGUUUCAAUAAAAUAUAAAAUUUGAACCAACAAAUCAAAAUGAGAAGUUAGAAGUAAACAAUCAGCAACUAGGUUUGGAGGGUGGGAAAUGGGUGUACAAGAAAAGAGGAACACUCAAUCAUGGUUGGAACUCAACCACAUAAAUACCAAUUCCUAAAGUAUUAAUUCCAAGUGAAACACAAUAAGCUCACAGUCCUAAUUGCAUGACAUAUAUUUGCCAUUAUAACCAGGUUACUCUCCUGUCUCCAUUCAAUGAAAUCAAAUCAAAUAGUAUCUCCCACUUCAACCACCACUACCUGUUUAAUGGAAUUCAAAUUAUCACAACUUCACUAACCUAAGCACAGCAGAUGAAAUAGGGAGAAAGGAAAGCAUAGUAGAUUGAUUACACACAAUAAUGGCAAAAAUUUGCACAAGAAUAAUAAUCAUGCUAACAAAAUUAGCAAUGAAGAAACAGAAGAUUUAAAAUAAACAUGUGGAAUGCAUUGCCACCUGCAGAACUCAAUCAACUACGUGACAUCCUGUCAGAAUUGUUUGAUCAACACCCAAAAGCAUUUGGCAUUUACUUUAUGGCUUAUCUUGAAGGUGGAGGACCAUGGGAUCUUGCCAUUCCCACCAAUGUAACAAUUCCAACUACAAGGAUUAUCCAUCCAAAAAUGU
rnacentral:misc_RNA from 1 species